rnacentral:snRNA from 1 species
AGGAGGUCACCCAUCCUAG